AGAGUUUGAUCAUGGCUCAGAAUGAACGCUGGGCGGCGUGCAUAACACAUGCAAGUCGAACGAGAAACUCCGGGCUUGCUCGGGGGAGUAAAGUGGCGCACGGGUGAGUAACGCGUGGGUAACCUGCCCCUGAAUCUGGAAUAACUCGCCGAAAGGCGGACUAAUACCGGAUAUCGUCCCAGAGGCGCAUGUUUUUGGGAUAAAAGGUGACCUCUUCAUGAAAGUUGCCGUUUGGGGAGGGGCUCGCGUACCAUUAGCUAGUUGGUAGGGUAAUGGCCUACCAAGGCGACGAUGGUUAGCUGGUCUGAGAGGAUGAUCAGCCACACUGGAACUGGAACACGGUCCAGACUCCUACGGGAGGCAGCAGUGAGGAAUUUUGCGCAAUAGGGGAAACCCUGACGCAGCAACGCCGCGUGAGUGAAGAAGGCCUUCGGGUCGUAAAGCUCUGUCAAGUGGGAAAAAAUCCAGACGGUGAAUAGCCGGCUGGCCUGAUGGUACCACUAGAGGAAGCACCGGCUAACUCCGUGCCAGCAGCCGCGGUAAUACGGAGGGUGCAAGCGUUGUUCGGAAUUACUGGGCGUAAAGCGCGUGUAGGCGGUUUGGUAAGUCAGAUGUGAAAGCCCUGGGCUCAACCCAGGAAGUGCAUUUGAAACUGCCUUACUCGAGUAUGGGAGAGGAGAGUGGAAUUCCCAGUGUAGAGGUGAAAUUCGUAGAUAUUGGGAGGAACACCCGUGGCGAAGGCGACUCUCUGGACCAAUACUGACGCUGAGACGCGAAAGCGUGGGGAGCAAACAGGAUUAGAUACCCUGGUAGUCCACGCCGUAAACGAUGAGAACUAGGUGUAGCGGGUAUUGACCCCUGCUGUGCCGUAGCUAACGCAUUAAGUUCUCCGCCUGGGGAGUACGGCCGCAAGGCUAAAACUCAAAUGAAUUGACGG
rnacentral:rRNA from 1 species